CCUACGGGUGGCAGCAGUGGGGAAUAUUGCGCAAUGGGGGAAACCCUGAUGCAGCAACGCCGCGUGAAGGAAGACGGUUUUCGGAUUGUAAACUUCUGUUCUCAGUGAAGAAUAAUGACGGUAGCUAUGACGCAAGCCACGGCUAACUCUGUGCCAGCAGCCGCGGUAAUACGGAGGGGGAAAGCGUUGUCCGGAAUUACUGUGUGUAAAGGGAGCGCAAGCGGGAAGCCAAGUCAGCUGUGAAAUCUACGGGCUUAACAUGUAGACUGCAGUUGAUACUGGUUUACUUGAGUGAUGUAGAGGCUGGCGGAAUUCCGGGUGUAGCGGUGAAAUGCGUAGAUAUUCGGAGGAACACCAGUGGCGAAGGCGGCCAACUGGGCUUUAACUGACGCUGAGGCUCGAAAGUGUGGGGAGCAAACAGGAUUAGAUACCCUUGUAGUC
rnacentral:rRNA from 1 species